CAUUUUCAAGCAGAAGGGGUGAGAUUUCAUAACAAAAUAACAUUAAUCAAUGUAAUUACGAAUCAUAAAUUAACAUCAUAAUCGUUCCUUUAUUAACUUUGCAUAAAUGCUAAACAGUUAUCACGUAAUCAUAUAUCCAAUCAUUAUGAACGACAUAACAUAAUCAAUAAACACUUAUCACGUAAUCACAUAUUCAAUCAUUAUCAACAAGGCAUCUUAAUCAUGACAAUGUGACAAUGCUCUUAGACUCCUUAUAUGCAUGUGGUACCAAUCGUCAUCAUAAGUAUUAAUAUACUUUAAUCGUGCGGAGGACAAAGCUCCUAUAAAACGUGUGGAGGACAAAGCUCCUAAUAUUCGUGGUGAGGACUAAGCUCAAUGAUAUGCUAUGCAUGGACACAUAUGAACAAAACAACGUAAUCGACUUAUCAACAUGCAUCCAAUAAUUUGGAGCUAAACUUCAUCAUAUACUUAUGCACUUAGUUAAAUAACGGAAGCAGCAUAAACAGGUCACAUAACAAGAUGAUAUCAUUAUAUCAAUAGCACAUAAAUUGUAUCAUAAACAAAUCUUCAUAACCUUGCAUAAUUAUACAUUACAUUAGCUCAUGUUCAAUUAAUAUUAUCAUGACUUAAACAACUCUACAGACUGCAUCUAACCACAUCACUAGGUCUCAUUACCAGUUAGGGGAUCACUCUUGAUCAACAAGUGCGACACAGAUCGCACAAACACAAAAACAAUUUCGUUCUGGUUGUACUCGCGAGGCGAGAGUCCUUACUCGCCGUGGCGAGUACCACUCAACUCCCAAACUAAGCUUGUUCUGGGUUCCCUCUGAUCCUACAUUCAUUCCUAAUCAAUACUAGGUAUGUUCAGGCACUCAAGGGUAUACAAGGUUCAACUAAAAAGGUCGAAACACGAAAUCUAACAUACACUCUGCCUUAGCUCGCGAUGGCGAGUAAGGUGGCUCGCAGUGGCGAGCUGCGUCACGCAACUCGUGAGGCGAAGGGGAUUGCUCGCCAUGGAGAGUUGAACCAAACAACUCGCGAGGCGAAGGGAAGGGACUCGCGUGGCGAGCGAUGAAGUUCAUCACUCGCGAGGCGAGGAUCAUAGCUCGCCGUGGCGAGCGAUGAAUGUCGCGACGACCAGGCUUCCUAAAUUCACAAAAAUCCGUCGAUCCACAUGGUUCUAAGCUUGUUUUUGAUUCCAAAGUUCGUCCUAAACAUUAUCUAAGGUCUAGGAAUACUUUCUACAUCAAUUAAACCAAUUCUCACCGUUUGAUCAUCAAUUCCAAGGUUUUGACCUAGUUUUCGUUUUCUCCAAUUAAUCCUAAUUCUUGCUAAUUAUUCAUCAGAAUUACAACAACUAAUAUUACAGAGUUAUUAGUCUCACCCUUACCUUAAAUUUGCAGAAAAUCGCAGCCCUCUUGGUCUCUUGCUCCUCUCUAAGCUUUUCUCCCUUUUUCCAAAAGUUUUCACGUACAAUAGUUUUUCUAAAAAUUAGGUCUUCCCUAUUUAUAUCUUUUCUUAAUUACUUAUCUUAUCUCACUUUCUCCCCCAAACCUAUCUAAAAUAUCAAAACAGCCCUCAACUAAAUAUUUUAUAUAAUUUUCAAAUCUUUAUUCUAUUUAACAAUAAAAUAAUUCUCACAUCAUAAUCAAAUCCUCCAAAACUCAUAACUUAUCACGUCAUCAAUGAAAUCACUAACUUCACCACAAAUCAUCAAAACAUAUCAAAAUCAUGCAUAUACUAUAUAAUUAUAAUAUAAUUGCCUAAACUCGAUUAAAUAACGAUUAAACGAAAGUGGGCGUUACAAUUGUCAGCAUCAUCAUUUCUCACUCUUAGCAUGCUCGCCAUCAUCUGCACCAGCCUCUCUUUCCAAAGCAUGAAUCAUUAGCUCAAAUUGAGCUUUCCUUUCAUCCAGCAUAAUACAAGUGUCCUUGAGAGUAGACACAACCUUCUGUUUGUCAUCAUUCUUGCAGCAGGAGCAGCUCUAGAUGUUCUAGCAUGGUCUGGGACAUGAUCAGCACUAAACAAUUUGGAGUGCAAGGAGAGAGGAGGUUCCCUCUUUUCUCGGACAUCACUUGCAAUUAUAAUGUUAGGAUGUUGAUCCAGAAUAACGCUACACAACAAAGUAGGAAAGGCUAUAGGAAAUCUAAUAGCAUCAAUUUUGGCAUGCUUCUUGGUUUGGUAAAAAAUGUAGACACUAAAAUCCAUCUUUGACUUGGACCCUACAUCAUAUAUAAACUUACCUAAUCUAGUGGCAACAUCAGAAGAAUGGGUGGUAGGAACCCAGUUUACAGCAGCAAUCCUGUUUAAAAUAGCAUACUUUACAGACAAUUUUCUAGACGAAAUCUUUUUCUUCUUGGGACACACCUUGAUCUGAUUCGCAGUGACCUCCUUACAUACUUGAUUAUCAGUUACUUCUAGCUUAGGAAUGUUGAUCUCUUCAACACCAAGAAAUUUGUUGAUAACGUUGGGAGAAAAGUUGACACAUUCUCCUCUUACAAACACUUUUUGAUACUCUCUGCUAAUGGGAUUUUCACAAUCAUUAGAAAUGUUUACGAAAAAUUCCUUGACCAGCUUCUCAUAUAAAUCACCAAGAUUGCACACUGUCUUCAUGAGACCUGCUUCCUUAAUAAGUUCCCUUACAUCGUCAAUUUCAAGAGCCUCCUUACCUAGCUCCCUUUCUAGUUCCAGCCUCUUGUGAUAGAUAAAUCUCCACCUUUAUACAUACUCAAGUAGAUGAAAAGAAACCUUGUCAAUAGGCACAUUAGCCACAAUCUUCUUUCCAGCAGACUUCCUUAAGGUAGAAGGGAUGAUGUCUGGAACAUCCUCCUCGACAUCAUAAUCAGAUUCACUAGAGGAGACAACCUUCCUCUUUCUUGUUCUUCUUGUAGUAGUCUUGACCUUCAUCUUGCUCCAACCUUUCUUAGGUCCAGCACCAGCAGUCCUCGUUCUAGUUUUGGGAGUAACAUUCACAAAGCCAUCACUUUUCUUGGGAGUCUCAUUAUCAAAAGGAACAACUUUUCCUUUUCUAUUUCUCAAUCUUUUGGCAGGACCUUCACUAAUACUCUGCACAAGUGGGAUGUAAGAAUCCAUUUCUUUUACCACAUCCUUUUCCUUUUCAUCAGACUGGACCUUUUUAGAAUCAAAUUCUUCUCUAGAUUGUUUCUCUUUUUUAGAGAGAGAGUUUACAGCUGUGUCAUCAGAAGAGAUUUCUUUCUCAUAAGCAUUCCUAAAUCCUGACUGAUCUCUGACAGGGGUAACAACACUCUCAUCCUGUCUGUUUAAUUGGUCCAAAGAUGUUUCAACAUCUGGUCCAACAUCCUUAUGAUCAACAAUCUUCUGAGGUGAAGUGUGAACAGAGUCAUUCAUUACAUUAUCUUCAUCAAGAUUAGGGUUAUCCACUUCCAUACUUUCAGUGCUAUCUAUGGCUGCGUUCAAAUCCUCUAACCCUUGUUUUCUACCAGAUUUAGAUACAGCGGAGUUUAGGUUUUAUUAGGGUUACCUUUUUCAACCUGUGCAUAUGCAACAUCAGCAGCAAUCUUGAUAGUUGUUUCAUCAUCAGCAACCAUGGGAUCCUUCUCAGAAGUGCCAACAUUAGGUUUGACAACGGUGGAGAUGAAAGUAUUCUCCUUUUCAUACAAAUCACCCAUGCUCAACGGUGUCUUUGAUUCACCCCUUUUCGUUUUAGGCCCCGUUUUCUUCUUCGAAGCAGAUUUUGUUGCGGUUUUCUUCUUAGUUUUUUGGGAAGAAACCUUUGUGAUGGGUUCACCCAUUUUAGGAAUUGAAGAACUAGUUUCACGACGUUCGGAGACAGAGUUUUCUUUGAUGGCUUGAGGAUCGUUUUUGAAGAUCAUUGUAACUUGGUUGUUUUGGUGAAAGUUGAUUGAAAAAGGGUGUAAGAAAGUGUUGUAACGGGAAAGAGAAUAUACAGAUGAUUUUUCUGAACUUAGGAGAAGAGAGGGACAAUGCAAUGAUAAGAUGGAAGUUAUUGCGUGUGGUUGUAGGUUUUAGGGAGGUUAGAGAAAUUUUCCCUAGAUUAGUGUGCAAUAAAGGAACAUUUUUGAAAUUAAACAACUGGCACAAUUGUUUUGCAGUGUAAUUUCUAAUUUUCCCCUCAAUUUUUUAAGAAGCUUGUCAUCCAAGAUUCUUAAACGAGAAAUAGAUGAUUUUUCCUCAAUAUCAAUUUUUUUCUAAGUUGUUGUGUUUUCCUCAAGGAACAAACUGAAGAAGUGAAAUUUGAUAAUAAGGUGAUUUAUCCAACUGUACUAGAUCGUACUCUUUGAAACAACAGUUGUGCUCAAGUUGAUACAACACGAUGUUGAAACAUCUUGUUCAACAUAACAUUUUAUUAACUUCUCCUUCAACAUCACAAGUUCUGUGGGUCUGUUUUCAACUACUGUGAACUUAUCCUCACCAGCAAAUUGGGACACAUAGUUACUUACCUCUGAAAUCAAAACUUGAUUAUAUCCAGAUAUUUUUUUCUGUCUGAUCUUUGCUAAGAGGAAUCCACAAGUAAUAAUUACCUUCAGAUUUGAUACCACUCAUAAUCACUUCCCCUUUCUCAUCAGUCAUAAAGCAUGCAGAUUUGCUGAAUUUCACACUCAUCCCUUGAUCACACAGUUGCCUUAUACUGAUCAAGUUAGAGGUCAAUCAUUUUACUAAUAGGACAUUGUUCACAUCUGGUAAGCCAUUACUAGUUAAACUUAAUCUUACCUUUUGUCCCAUUUCCAAAUACAACAUAGUUGUUGGUGCAGGAUUUCUCAACGUCAAGAAGAUCUUUAAAUCCAGUCAUAUGUCUAGAGCAUCCAUUGUCAAAAUACCAUCUUUCCCUAGUAGGUGUUCUUAGAGAGAUGUGAGCCAUCAAUCCUACAUUGUCAAUCUUAGGUUUCCACUUUUCUUGACCCUUAUCACUUUUGGCUUAUGUGCCUUUUGAUGAAGUUGUUGUGCUAAUCCAUACAACUUAUAAUAGAAAGGUCUUGUGUGCCCAUUUUUCUUACAAAAGUGACAUAUCGUAGAAGGAGAUACCUUAACAAGUGAUAAGGGAACAUUUUUAACUGGCAAUGUCAAGAAUUCAAACUCUGAAUUCAAAGUGUGAAUCCUGUGGUAGAUUCUGAAUUCUUGACAUCAGAAAUCCUGAAUCUGAUUCAUUCUCCAUAUCAGAUUCAUUCGCCAUCUACUAUAAUCAUAUAACUUAUAGCAACAUGUUUGGUAGAUUCAUUCUCCAUAUCAGAAAUCCUGCAUCAAAGCAGCAACAUGUUUGGUUUGUGUUGGCUUUUUCUUCUUUAUAAAACUAAUUAAGUCCAGUGUUCAGAGUCUGAUAGAGUUCAGAGUUUUGAACAAAUUUCAGAGUCUAAUGGAGCAGAUAAAGUAAAGAGAUAGAGAGAAGGGAUAAACAAAAAAAAAUAUACAGGUUCCUUCCAUAAUUCGGAAGUAGUUCUGUCCCCCUUGCACUUCCGAGGAUAGUUCACUAAAAUCAAUAUCUGAUUACAAUUGCUCAAGCACCAAAGCAAGAGACUUCAAACUACUUAAGCACAAAAGCAAGAGGUUUCAUAUGCUCAAGCACAAACGCAAAAGUCUUCCUAAGCUCAAGCACAAAAGCAAGAGACUUCUAAUCAAACAGAAUUACAAAGAAAAUGUUUGAGGUUGAACACUUGAUAUACAAUAAGUGGUGUUCAUAAAACAAAUCAGAUACAGACUCUUAAGACUCUAAAAUUUUUAAGAUAUGAAAGUUGUUAAGAAAUUCUAAGUGAAAUUUGAUGUGAAACAAUUUCAGCAGAGUUUUGGCACUUGUAAAAUUGCUGCGAGUCUCUUACAAUCUUCAAGUCUUCGCUCAUUUAUAUAGAGGUGUGAAAGAUACGUAGUUGAUUGCCAGCACAUCAAAAAUAGUAGUUGUUGAAGCUUGAUAAUCACCAAUGAUCUGUUGCUUGAUUUGGUUAUUGUCCUACGAGAGAAAAAUUUCAAAUCCAUUCCUUGUAUAGAGAAUAACCAGCGUAGUCACAAUUGUAGUCUUGUACUAUUGUAGACACAAUGAGUGGAGUAGUGGAUGUAGUGGUUGUACAAUUGUACUAUGUCCUUUUCCUAUGCUCUUUAGUGGAUAACCAUCCAAUGCCUUCUAAUUCCUCUGAAAUAGUCGUUGCUCCAGGCAUCCAUUCCUUCUGCAAUCAUAUGCAUUCAGAAUAACAACAUUUAACUAACUUCAGCUUCCAGUCUUCAGCUUCUGAUAAACUCCAACUUCUUAUGGUUCUUUAGAUUUUGAUGGCGUCUACUUCUAGUAGACCGCUUCUGAUAGACAGCUUUUGAUAGUUCUUCAAACGCUCUUUGACUUCAGACUCUGUCUUCAUUCUUGCAACACAAGCUUCCUUUUUGUAAAUUUCAUGCUCUCAUUUGUUCUUCAAGAACCUAAACUUGUAUUAAAGACAUAUAUCUUCUUGUCUAUGGUCCUGCACACUUGAACAAAUAUUAACAUAUCCAAUUGACACUUUUUAAUACCUUGUUAUCAUCAAAACUUAAAGUGGUAUUGUUAAACAUAUUUUGUUCCAACACGCUGAGUUGUGAACUAGUAAAAUAAAAAUAUGUUUGUGAACUAGUAAAAUAAAAAUAUGUUUUUAUUUAACUCUGUGCGUGUGUUCCCGCUAUUUCAGAAGGUAAUCCAGUCAAAAGACAUAAAAGUUUAUAAAUCAAGAAUCCCCAUUUCUUGUGUUUUCUUGCGCCAUCAAUACUCAAAGGUCAAGAAUAAGUUGUUUAUCAUAGUUCAUCAUAUUUGUAGGUUAAGGAGUUUGUGUAUAUAUGUCUUAGUGUAUGUAUAGACGUUGGAUUAUUAAUUGUAUUAAAUAUAUUUCAAUAAUAUUAUAUUCCAAUAAAAUUUAUUGAAUUUAUUAUUUCACUUAACUUUCUUCAAUAUUGCAUUGUAUCCUACAAUCGUCUAAUUUAACCGUAAGAGUAUGCUUUUAGGUUGUGUUUGGUAACACAAAAAAGAUAGUUUAUAACUUGUUGGAUUAGCUUAUAAACUCGUUAGAUGAAAACGUGGCGUGUUUGGUAACAAGCUUUUUUCAUGAGCUUAUAGCAUUUUUUGAAAAGCUAUUUCAAGUAGCAUUUUAGCUUACAGCUGAUAGCUUUUUAUAUUUUCUUCCAACUUUAACCCUAUUAAUUUAAAUUAAUUAUUUUUUUAAUUAAACAACUACCUAUGUUCAUCUUUAUAACCGCCUCAUUUUUUCCCUUAAAAAAAAUGCCACGUUUUUUUUUUUUUUUAAGGAGCACUUUAUAUAUAUAUAUAUAUAUAUAUACACACCCAUAUAUAUAUUAAGGAAAUGUUUUAUAUUUUGCUAUAACUAACCUAGUGUACACCACAUAAAAAAUAACUAGCCUAUUUUUUUUAAAGGAAAAAAUAACUAGUCUAUUGUACGUUGUAAAAUUUUAUAUAUUCUAGCUCACAUUUUGUUUCCACCUUUCUCUUAUUUUUGGGAUUCAUAAAGCAAGAUCAAAAUUGUCGGUGAAUUUUUUUUAGGAUUAAAGGUCGAAGAAUUAUUUUAUGGAGACUAAGACCAAAAGUUUGAAUAUUUAUAGGGACCAAAAACAUAUUUAACUAUAAUUAAAAAUAUUAAAAAAUAAAUACAUUACAAAAAAAAUGUAUGUGUCUAUAUGUAUAUUAAAGAAAAAAAAACAUGUCAUUUUAUGUCAUUUUAUACUUAUCAGACACUUCAACAGCUAAUUUUACCAAACACAUUAUUUUUAAUAAGCAAGUUUUUCAGCUAUAAGCCAUCAGCUAUCAGUCAUUAGCUAUCAGCUAGCUUAUAGCUUAUUUUUACCAAACAGAGCCUUAGUUGUAAUUAGUAAUAUCAUAAUAUGGUAAUCAAAAUUAAGAGAGAAAAUGAUAAUCUAAACAAUAAUAUUUAUGCUUUAUUUCAUUUAAUUAUCAUUAUGUUAUAGUGCAAAGCCAUAACUGCAUUUGAAAUUUGAAAAGGAAAAAAACAAUUUAAAGUAUUGAGUGCCAACACAGUAAUUAAAUUACAUAUCUUAUAUUUUUUCAUCAUAAAUUAUAUUUCUUAUAUCUUUUGCUAGAGCAAGAAACCAUUCUUCUCUCUAAGGCCUUUUUGUAUUCUCUUUGGCUUUGUACUCUAAUGAUUAUUCGAAUGAUUCAAGAAAAUUGCGACAUUGACAUCGAUACUUGAUACACCGAGCAAUUCUAGGAAGCACACACUUAACCAUUUUUUCACAAUCAGAAUCAUUACGGCAUUCAGUACUUCGUCUAAUGAGAAAAAAUACAGAAGAAUGUUACAAAUUAAAGGGGAAAGGAGAUUACAUAAGAAGUAUUUCCUCCGUCUUUAAAUAUAAGUAAAAUUGAUUUUUUUAGGCUCAUUCAUUUAAUGAUGUAUGUGGUUUAUAAUAUGGAUUAAUGAAUGAACCUAAAAAGUCAAUUUUGCUUAUAUUUAAAAACAGAGGGAGUAAAGAUCAUAGUUUCAAAAUAAUUAAAAAUUGCUUACCUUCUUUUCUGACAAGCAACAAGAACAAAAAAGUAUAUCAUAACAUAGAAAAACAUCAUAAGUUUAGCCAUAUAUUUCCCCUUAUUUUAAUUGUUUCAAAUAGAAAAGGAGAUGACCACUUUAUAAUGUUUAAAUCUCAAACUUUCUUUAUACAUAUUAAAUAGAUUUUAAAACACAUAAUAAAAUAUCUCUUAACUAUAUUUAAUUAUAUUGUUUGUCCCUUUAAUAUACUUUAGUAAGGAUGUCGUAUAAAAAUAAUCCAGUAAUAAGAAAAAAUGUUAAUUAUUUAACCUUUCGUGAUAGAAUAACAAUUAGGUUUAAAUGUGUCAUUGGUCCCUGCACUUUCAUCAGAUUUUGAUAUUGGUCCCUGCACUUUUUUUUGUUUGGCAUUGGUCCCUGCACUUUGUAAAAAUAUUGGUAUUGGUCCCUCUGUUAACUUUCUGUUAAAAAAAAAAACACAAAACCAACGGAGUGCCACGUGGCCCAAUCAUUUCACGCCACGUGGCACCAAUAUCAAUAUUUUUACAAAGUGCAGGGACCAAUACCAAUAUUUUUACAAAGUGCAGGGACCAAUACCAAUAGUUUUGUGUUUUUUUUUAACAGAAAGUUAACAGAGGGACCAAUACCAAUAUUUUUACAAAGUGCAGGGACCAAUGUCAAAAUCUGAUGAAAGUGCAGGGACCAAUGACACGUUUAAACCUAACAAUUAUUUUACACAUUAGGAAAGAGAUCAUAUAUUAAAAAGGUCAGGUAAUCUUUUAACCUUAUUAUGGAGGUUGAAUAUCAAGAAAUAGUUUUAAAACAUAAUAUAAAAAAUAUUUUCUUUUUCUUUUGGAUACAUAUGGAUAAAAAAUAUUACUUAAUGACAAAUUUGACAAAUUUGACAAGUGCAUCAAACCGUUUCAAGUAAUAUAGUAGUAAGUGCAUCAUCUCCAUAAAGAUUCUUCUUAUUAAAGACUAUAAAUUUAAGGGUUUUUACAAGCUUUGAUUGACUGCACUAAUAAUAAGAUUGGUUUGUUUGGUUAUGUUUAACGGUGAUAAGGAUUCUUCAAAUCUCCUUUAUCUUAUUUUUUGGUGUAACACAUGUUUCCUACUAACUAUGACCUAAGAAUUUUAUAAACAAAAGUCAGGAUCGAGAUACCUUGAUGUUUCUAUAUAAUAAUACUCUUGUAUUUUUACCUAUAUGAGGCAUAUAUGUGGUAUUAUCAAAAGACGACUCAAAAUAUAACUAUAAUACUUUCAAAUUCUUAAUAAAUUAAAGAGACUAAAGCAAGACGUAAUUGUUCUUGUGUCGGGUUAAUGCAAGGUCGUCAUUCUUAUACCCUAACCCAAGGAACAAGUAUAUAUCUAGGCUCAUGAAACCUAAGAGGAUGGACCUAAGAGGAUGAUUGAGUUGUUUCAAUCUGCCACCUGUAGAGGUUGAUUCGUCGAUGUGUCCGUCGUCUACCUGUUUUGCUGAACUGUGGUGGGAUGAUAAUUCUAGUGAGGUUGGUUGAUCUUUAGCCUCUAGUGAAACGAAGGGGGGUUGUGUACCUGCACACGCUUUAACGCCCAAGUAAGUAAGGGGUACAAGAGGAGAGAUCACAAGUUUAAGGUAAGAAAUGUCAUACCUGAUCCAAGGCUAAAUGUCGACACCGAUGAAAUGUUUGAAAACAUAGACAGCGGAAGGGAAGAAGUCACUCUCAAUCCGAUCUAGCAAGAAAUGCUAUUCCGAUAAAGUCAAGCGAGAGAGCUCAUUAAGAAAGAAGGCCAUCUUCCAUCCGCCUUUUAGUUUUAGAUAGGGCGAGGCUAGUACGAGACUCUGAACCACGACGGAUCUUGUCUUAGGAAAUAGAAUGGGACGGGAGGCCUAUCUGACCUUUUGUUUGAUUCAAUUUUCCAACCCUUUCUUUAGAACCAACCUGGAAUGCAAACAAGGAAGGAAAGGGCCCAUUAAGGUUUGGGUAUAUAUUGGAGUUAUGCAAGGCUUGGCUAGCAAACUUUAUCCUGACAAUCGUACCUGUUGGAACAGACGUUGUAACCCUCGACCCUGGGAGUUACCUUCGGCUUGUGUAGGCGUGGUUAACCUCCAACCUUCGUGUUUAACCCUUGGCCCACACCGUAAUUUAGUGGGUUUUAGAGCGUGUCAAUCAUAUAAUGUUGCCUUCUUUGUGGACUUGGGUCAGAUGCGAGAGGUGCCAGAUUGGGCUUUAGCUCGAUCUAGAACAGCAAAUCCAGGCUCUAGGCUGAUGUAGUGAGGCUGAAACUUGAGUAAAGCUCCCUCUUUGGAAGUCCUCAUUUGAAGUCAAGGAGUUGGUAUGGCGCCACGGCUCCUGGCUACCGAAUUUUCACUGGGCUUUGCAGAGUGUUUUCUGUGAGCCCCUUGGAAUUUUUCGCUAUCGUAGCUCGAUGGCGUCCGAUUAGGGAUUUCUUCAAUUUCUUGAGGUUUGAGGGUCCGAGGCUUUGUGUCAUCCAGUCUAGUGAUCUUCGAGAUCUUCAUGUUACCAGGAACGUGGCUUUUUGCGGUUCAGUCCGAUCUUCUUAAGUUUGACACACUCCUUGGGUUUCUGCCUUGGACGAAGUGAUUGUUUUGACUACACAUAGGCUACGCUCGGUGCACAUGACUGUGCAGGAAAAUGCAUGCUCAAGGAGCAUGAAGCAUUCUAGGGGAGCCAGAAGAAUGCUCGGAGAGCAUGUCCAUGCUCAGAGCGCAAGGACCAUGCUCAACGGCGUCUGAAUGUGCUGUCACGUGCCUAAAUGUUUGUUUCUUCGUCUUUUGGGUUUCAGCUUCCGUAUAAGAUGUCUUAGGACAUGAGAACAAUAUUCCUGCCUCUGUAAUUUCAUAUGGGGCCUCGUGUGUAACAACCCGUUUUUAGCUAGAAAUAUUUUAUUUAUUUAUUAUAUAUGCUUAUUUGUCUUUGUGUUUAUUUUAUUUGCGAUUAGUGAAUUUUUCGGCUAGAAGGGUAUUUUAGUAAUUUUUAGAAAAGGGGUAUUUUGGUUUUUUGGCGAGUAAGGGUAAAUUAGUCAUUUUAUUGAGAAGGUUAUGUUGAUGUUUUAGUGAGAAUAGUUAUUUUUAGAAAGUUACUAGGGAAUUGCGGUAAUUAUUUAGAGAUGAUAAUUAUUCGAUAUUUUAGCAGAUUAGUGGAUUUUUGGGCUAGAAGGGUAUUUUAGUUAUUUUUAGACAAAGGGGUAUUUUGGUUUUUUGGCUAGUAAGGGUAAAUUAGUCAUUUUAUUAAAGUUAUUUGACGUUUUAGUGAGAAUAGUUAUUUUUACAAAGUUACUAGUGAAUUGCGGUAAUUAUUUAGAGAUGAUAUAAUUAUUCGAUAUUUUAGCGGAUUAAUGUGUAGUUACUUUUGAGAAUUUGUUAGUGAGAGUUUUAAGCCCAUUGUGAAAAUUAGAAACCUAGUCCAUUAGAGAGCAGUAUAUAUACUAAACUCAUGAAGGGGAAUUAGGGUUAGAACAUUUUCACCUCAUAUUAAAGGGAUGCUAGAGAGAGAAAGUGGGAAGAAUAGAGAGAAGAAGAGAAAAGUGUAAUCCAUGAAUUUGUGAGUGAUUAAUUUCCAAAAAAGUUUAAAUUCAGUUGAUAUAUAUGAUUAUAUAUGUUUGUAUGUUGUUGGGGUUUGAAUUGUUGUUGUUUUUUGUGAAGUUUGAAAGAAAAUGAGAAAAUAUGAGUUUUUGGUGAAAAAUGAAUUUGAUGAUGAUUUUGAUGUGAAAUGAGGUUAUGAUUCAAUGUUUUUAAGUGUUUUGAUUGCCUUUUGAUGUAUGUUAACUAAUAACAAAGUUUGGGGAACAAAUUUGGGUCAAAGGGGAUCAAAAUCGGGGUUUUGAGUGAAAAAUUGGAUGGGUUCUCGAGAGGAAACCCAAAAUCUGGGUGCACCUGCCUGGUGCAACUCUCUGGGCGAGUGAUUAAUUGCCGUGGUGAGUUGCCCAGGACAGAACCCAUGAUUUUGGGUGUCCCGGGAAGUUAGGGGUCGUUCCGGACUUUCCAAAAUUCUUCUUUUGAUGUGUUUGAUUGCUAUUUUUACUUCUAAACCUACUGAAACAUCAAUUGGAUUGGAUUGAAAUGAUGUUUGUGAAUCGAAUCGAAAUUUAUUUGAAAUUGUUCAAGAACGAAGAAUUUUUCGAAAUUCGCUUUUCUCGAGGAAAAUGGUAGGGUUAGGGUUUGUUUCUGUAACAAUGAUUUUAAAAUGAUUUGACAUUGUGUAUAAGAGCUUAAACUUGGUUUUACUUUGAAAAUGUCUUUUUUUUUUAAAAGUUUUAAAAAAAAAGGGAAAUGAGACAAACUUAGUGAUUUUUUGGAAUUAAAUGGAAUCAAACUUAUAUGCUUUGUGGAUUUGUUUGAACGUGAAUGUAUUGUUUUCGGAUAAUUAUUUGGAAAAUUUUGGUUUUUGUGAAAAUAGAUGAACUUUGUCAAAAUGAGUUUUAAUGAUCGGAUAACUUGCAAAUAACUUUGUGGGCAUUAUAAUGUGAUGAAAUAAGAGUGGACUAAGGUUUGUUGGUUGUUUAAUAAGUUUGUUUUCAUGAUGUGGUUAAUGGCCCGUCUAUUAUGUGAAACAUGCCAUAUGAAGUAAUGUUGUUUCUUUGUAGUGAUGUAUGUUUAACAAUUGUUGAUUAUGAAUAUGUGGAGAUAAAUGUUUAACAAUGAAUAUGUAGAGAUAAAUUAUUAUUUGAUAGAUGUUGAUGGAUGGAUGUAUUGUUUUGAUAAUGCAAUAUGUGGAGAUGUGUGGAGAAUAUGAAAAGUAAACUUUUGUUAUGCAUUAUCGAGUCAAGACUUGGCAUUCAUGCAUUUAAAAGUCUUAUAUGUAUAGAUAUGCAGAGAUAUGUAGAGAGAUCAAUCGGUAAAAUUACCUCCGACAUCCAAUGGUAUCACAUGCAUGUAGAGUCGUGUCUAGAGAAUUACAUACACAUGAGUUAUGUGAAGUACAUGCCUUGGUGAAAUUAUGUGCUGGUGAAUUUUGUGUAACUUGUGAAGUUGUGGACUUGAACUUGAAUGAAUGAUGAUGUUUUUACACUUGAAUAUUGUAAACGAAGUAAUGAUUUGAUUAUGCUAAUUAUUCACAUGUUGAUGACUUUAUAGGAUGAUAGGAUUGUUUUUGUCUAUGUGUAUUUUGAAAUCCUUUAAUGCUAUUCAUUUGUUUAUAAUUGAUUAUGCGAUCGGUAUCUAACCCCCAGUGGUCGUUUGGUUGACCACCACAUCAAUUCUUUGAAUGGUGUAGGUGAUUUCAGGAUUGACGUGAUUGCUUCUUUUCUUGCUUGAGGAUUAGCAAGGAUGCUUCCUCUUUUAUUUUCCACUUAGAGUCUAGUUAGGCUCUGAUGUAGGAGUGUCGGUCUUGAGUCUUUAUUUUGAUACCUUUAAGACUUAUUAUCAUUUAUGUUGAGAAUUGACUAUAUUUUAGAGAUGUAUUUAUGAGAUGUGAUACAUGGCAUGUUGAGAUUGUUACUUUGGAUUUGAGGAUUGUUUCUUGGUGAUGAGAUAUUGUGUAUGUUGAAUAACUUCCGUUGCAAAAAAAUUAAAAGAAACGAAGUUAUGCAUGUUUUGAAAAAUGAAGAUGUAGUAUUUAAAUCUCUUUGAAUUAUUGAAUUUAAGUUUUUGUUUGACCUCAAGUAAAAAAAGAAAAACAAAUUUUAUUCUUUUCAUUUUUUUUUCAGGAAAACAUAACUUUCCGAAGAGGUUUCUUAGAUAGUCAUCUCGUCUCAUUUACAGACUGAACUUACUUACCACUUUACAUCCAAGCAGGACAGGGUCAAAGAAGUUAGCUCAUACUCACAACCACUCUCUUUGCCAAGAUACAUGUAUGUAUAUCCUAAAGAAGUGGGGUUGGUCAUGACAUUUUACCACUCCAGUCGUCACAUGAAUGUACUUUGCUAUUAAUUUAAGAGAAUUCUAAGUUCAUAGUCAAGAUCGUACUAUAUACCCAUGUUGAGGUCUUUCAGAGUUGUAACGUGGCUUAGGGUACAAUGAGAUAUAUAUAUAUAUAUAUAUAUAUAUAUAUAUAUAUAUAUAUAUAUAUAUUUGAGAAAGUAGGCAAACAAAAGAACUUGGAGGUAGAUUAUCAACUUAAGGAUUCCUACUUAACAUUUAAGUAUUACCAACAUUCCUUUGUUGAAUCAAACAAGAUGGGUACUAAGUAUAACUAUUUUUCUUUUUCUUUUUCAAAACAAAUACAUUUUUUUUUUAUGUUUUUGGCUCUUGACUUUUUUUUCUUUUUUGUUUUUGUUCAGACCCAUGGUAAUCUACAUUUUUUUCUUUUUGAUUGAUGAGUCAUUUAUAUGCUAUUUUAAUAUGCUUUUUAGUUUAGUUUUAUUUAGAUUUUAUAUAAUUUUAUAUUAGUAUUAUUUCCUUUUUAGGAUAGUUUACUUUAAAUUGCAAUUUAUUAUAUUUCAGGGAAGAAUAUUGGAUGGAUUGAGUCUUGGAGCAAAAGAAAGGGAUUUGGAGCAGAUUGGACACGAAAAUACGAAGAUUGGGAAACAAAAUAUAUCUCCCACAAGUCAGAAGCCUGGCACGGCCCGUGCUAGCCUUGGCACGGCCGUGCCACCCUCAAGAGACCUUUUGCUGCUUUUGCUUGGACUCCAAGCUAUUCUAUUUUGGGCGCACAAUCUACCGAGGAAUAUUCUUGGAAAAUACUUGGUUUAAUUUUAAGUCAAUUGUGACUAUAAAUAGAGUAGCUUGCCUUCACAAAUAUUCCUUCUUUUCUUGGGAUACAAUAGGGGACAAUUGUCUUUCUAAAAAAAGCUCAUUUAACUUUCUUGGUUAUUUCCUUUUACGUUUUUCUCUCCUCCCCCCCCUUGCCACCAAAGAAGCCCAAUGAGUAAACUUCCUCUCGCUUGGGGAUUGGGGGAAAAAUUUAAUGGCAUAAUCCUUAUUCAAACCCAGGUUUAAAACCUUUAUUUAUUGGACCCUUAAUUCUAUUAAAAAUUCACGGCUUUUAUUGGAAUAAACUAUUUAAAAAUAGUGAAACAAAAAGGUGGUGGGUUGUAUUUUGUUUUUUCUCUCUUCUCAAAAAUCUUUUCAAAAAACAAAAUGGGAACCCUUAUUUUUCAAACAUGGGAAUUUUUAAAGAAGUUGUGUAAAACCGCUCAAAAUUUUUUUUUUAUAUUUUUGAAAAAUAAAUUUAUUUUUAUUCUCCCUUGUGGAAANNNNNNNNNNNNNNNNNNNNNNNNNNNNNNNNNNNNNNNNNNNNNNNNNNNNNNNNNNNNNNNNNNNNNNNNNNNNNNNNNNNNNNNNNNNNNNNNNNNNGGAAUUAAAAAAAAAAAAAGAUUAAUAAUUAUUUUCUCUGACCCAGGGGGGAGAAGUAUUUUUUAUUUAUUAUAAUUAUUUUUUUUUAGAGAAAAUUUUUAAAAAAGAAAAGAGAAAGAAAAAAAUUAAGUUUGGGGGGAUUUUUCAAGUAGUUUUAAAAAAAAAAAAAAAAAAAAAAAAAAAAAAAAACCAUGGGGUGUGUUUUGUUUUUUUUUUUAAUAAAAAAUUUUUUUCUAACCAAAAAACAAAAAAGUAAAAAAAGUAUGUUUAGGCCAAAUUUUCCAAAAAAAAUUUUAUUUUUUUUUCUUUAGACAACCCCAACCCAAUUUUUACUAACUGAGAUUAUUUUUUAAUUUGGUUCUCUUUACCAACCCACCCCAAUUUUGCCGACUUGAUUUUUUUUGUUUCCCUGAAGAUAGGAAUUAAUUGUCUCAAAAAAUUAGAAACCUAUUUUCACGAACUUUCAAUCCUUUUUUUAAAUUCACUUGUUCGAAUAUCAAAGCUCCACUUUCGUUUUAUGAAUUGAUAUUUGGAAUGAUGGAUUAACAAUUAUCAAACCCUCCACUUUCGUUUCCACAGUUUGAUAAUGGUUGAUCCAUGUUAAGACGGUGAAUUCAGAUAAGAAAUUAGGGUUACAUAAGAUUAGGGCUUAGAGCUUGGUUUGAUUAGGAUUAUGUCAUUUAGACUUAUCCAACAAUCCCAAGACAAGGAGAAGUCUACUCACUCAUGUUCAUCGUAGACAUGGGGGAGAAGAGAGAAAGCAUAAAAGUAAAAGACAAGAAAGUAAAGGAAAAGAAAAGAACUUUAAUUAGAAAAGCAAUUGUCACUUAUUGUAUUCCAAGUAAAGAUGAAUAUUUUUGAUGGAUGGCUACUCUAUUUAUAGCAUACAUUCGACUUAAAAUCUAAGCAAUUAUAUUCGGGCUAUAAAUAGAGUAGCUUAAAAUCUAAGCAAAAGCAACAAAAGUAGUUCUGGAGUGUGGCACGGCCGUGCCAAGCCUAGCACGGGCCGUGCCAAGUUUCUGACUUGAGGGAGAUAUAUUUUUGUCUCCGAAUCUUCGUAUUUUCGUACCAAAUCAGCUCCAAAACCCCUUUCUUUUGCUCCAAGACUCAAUCCAUCAAAUAUUCGUUCCUGAAAUAUAACAAUAUGCAAUUGUAGUAAAAUAGUUCAAGAAAGGAAAUAAUAUUAAUAUAAAAUAAACUUAAAUGUAAUUAAAACUAAACUAAAUAACAUAUUAAAAUAGAUAAUAAAUGACUCAUCAAAUUCCCCCACACUUGAAUCUUUGCUUGUCCUCAAGCAAAAGGCAUAAACAUGGUAGCACAAGACAAUAUUAUCAUAUGACAAUUUAAUUAGAACACAUGUCUCCUCAAGGGCUUAAAUUUCAAGCGUACACUAAUCACAAACUCAAGCAUUUCUUGUAAACCUUAUUCAACCCAACAAUCAAGUUUCAAGUGAGUGUGUGUGUGUAGUCCAACCCUUUUCUUGCUCCUGUAUAAGAUAGAUAUUAUGAGGAAACAUGUUCUAAUCCUAGUACUAGACCAACCAAGAAAAACUCUUUCUUCAUUUCAUAUAAGAGAGAUGGGAGUAUUUGCAAUCUUUUUGAACUUUGCCAUUUGCAUAUUUUUGGAAUUUCAACAUACUUUAUUUAAGAAACAACACCUUCACGUAGGAAGUCGAAGGGCCUACCCCCUUCCCCAAUCUAGAUUCAGUGGUGCCCCUUAAAACAUCUUCUUCACGUAGGAAGUCGGAGGGCCUACCCCCUUCCCCAAUCUAGAUUCAAUGAUGCUUUUUAAAGUUUUUCAAGAUAACAUUACCUUCACGUAGGAAGUCGGAGGGCCUACCUCCUUCCCCAAUCUAGAUUCAAUAAUGCAACCUUGAAAUUAUUUUGGCUAUUUGGCUUUUUAUAAACUCCUUUAUACUAACUUAUACUACUUUUACUUUGAGAGUUUUUAAAGGUCAACGUACCACUAAAAUUAAAACAUAUUUCCUUAAAAUACCUAUUCAUACACUUACUCAAGGGAAGCAACUUGUGUUUUUCUCAUUGGAGAAUUGUAUUCACUUUGAAGCAAGAUGUGGGUAUAUCAAGAAAACUUAAAAUACAAGAGUUCACUUUCAUGUACAAGAAAUAACCAAUUAAGAGGAGACAAUAAAAAAUUUAUGUCAUGAUAUUUUUCAAUAAAAUCAAGCUACUUAACCAUCCCUUUCACAAUAAAACAGAACAAAAGAAUAAAGUUUAAGGGAGUUUGGAAACACUACGACUAAAGACACUUUAUUAGGCUCCCCCCACACUUAGGAGAAGCAUUGUCCUCAAUGAUUUAAAAGAAGAAGAAGAAAAAGAAGAUGAUGAAGAAAGAAGAGAAGUAGAGAAGAGUAAAGGAAGAGGAGAGCUCACAAUUUUAUUGAAGUCCAUAAGGUGGACCUUGGAGAUGAAGAUGUUGCAUCAUGUAUCGGAACAUUUGAUUGUUUUAUUCAUUUAUUUGAUUGCCCCUUAGGACAUCGUUUCUUAGCCCGAUCAUUUCAACACCUUGUCUUUGUUGCUCGGUGCAUGUUCUUUGAACUUCGGUUUGCAUCAAUGCCCACCGUUCAUCAUUAUAGUUUCCACCGGCUACUUGUUAAUGGUGCAAGUUUGCACCUACCUCCUCUUCAUCACCACCAUCAUCACCAUCAUUGUGUACCUGUGGGUUAGUGCCAACAUAAAAGUUUUCUACCACCUUCGGAUUAGUAAUAUCUGAAUUAGGUAGAAUAAUCAAGAAAUUAGCAUUAUUGACUCGCCACUCAUAUUGGGAAUUGUGAGAAAGGCCAUGGAUUCUAAAAAAAACAUGGUAGUGAGGGUUUCUAAGUAUAGAUAGUAGUUUCCCUCAAUCCUAUUUAUCCCUUUGUUCACAUUUACCUCAAAUUUUCUAACAAAUGAAAGUGAUGAUUCCACCUACCACUAUAUCACCUUUAUAUCCGGUUUCUUUCUAGCAAUUGAAACAAGAUAAUAAAUCAAAUAAUAGCAAAUGUUAACAUGGUGGUUAUAAAGUAUAGCGUACAACAUAAACAACUCAAUAGUCCUCAUCAUUUCUACCUUUUUUCUACCCCAUAUGGUGCAAGCAAUAACCGUGUGAAGGUACCUAAGCACAAGGUUGUGAAUUUAUUCAACAACCUAAUCACAUGUUCAUCUAUUUCUAGUCUAUCCAAAGCAUUAACAUCAGGGUACCUGCAAGGAGAGAUAGUUCUAGAGAUUAGAGAAUUAUACCUAUUUCUUUGCUCAGAAUCCUUGAAUUGGAUCCCAUGAUUGCGGGCUGUUGAUUGCUUCUUAAUUGCACCUCUUCCGGAGGCUUCAAUAUCAUCACCUUUCGUUUUUGAUGCCAUUGACCUUAGCUUGGUUCGGGUGUGGGUGGAGGUUAGGUGUGGACAAGGUUUAUGUGGGAAGGGGUGGUUUAGUGAUGGGUUUUGGUUUUAGUGAGGUUUAUGAGUUGAAUGGUGGAGAUUGGUGAAGAAUUUGUUUGGAAUGGUGAAUGGGGAUAGAUAUGGAGGUUUGAAGAUUGAUGUUAUGGAGGUUGAGAGAGAGAAGUUGAAGGAUGAGGGAAGUUUGUGUUUGAGAAUGAAGGAAGAAGAAGAAAAGUGAAAAAAAAUGGUAAAAGAGGGUCUGGGACCAUGGCACGGCCGUGCCACCACAGGCACGGGCCGUGCCAACUCUCUGGAAGUUGGUGGAUGUUGGGUAGGUCACAGGCACGGCCGUGCCAACAUUGGCACUGGCCGUGCCAAGCUUCUGGACGUGCAAGGCUCAAUUUUCUUCAUUUUUUUGCAUCAUAUUUGGACAAAUACCUACAAAAUAAAUUAAAACAACACAAAACAAACAAAAUAAAAGCAAUUAAACUCGUGGGUUGCCUCCCACGAAGCGCUCUUUUAGAGUCAUUAGCUUGACGAUUAGAAGGUUUCUCUACCCAAUACCCAAUCUUUCCCAAAGGGAUAGUGGCAUCAACCUGAGAUUCUCUCCCAAAUUACACAUAGCUUUUUCAAUGGUUUCACUCUCAAUCACACAAGGGGUGGAAAAACUCUCAAUCACUAUGAUGUUAGGCUUAACAAGCCUUUGUGGGACAUGGAUUUUGAGUUUAAAAGGUGGUGACACGAUUGGCUUAUCACUCUCUCCUAUGGCUUUCUCACCUUGUUGCUUUUCACUCUCUAUCUCACCCUCAAUUGUCUUAGUUUUCAUAAUGGGGUCCUCUAACUGCUUACCGUCCCUAAGUUGAAUAGCAUUUAUAAGGUCUUUGGGAUUGGCUUCAGUUUGACCUGGAAAGACUUCGGGGGUUUGAGAGGAAGUAGCUACUUUUUGGGCUACUUGAGAGAUUUGAGUUUCUAGCAUUCUAGUGUGAGUAGCAAUGGAGUCCACUUUAGAUGUAAGCUUGACAAAAGAGUCAUUCAAAGAUCCAGUUUGAUUUUUAAGUUCUUGAAAUUGCUUGGAUUGCUCCAUAUCAUGUUUUUCUAGUAAAAUUUCCAAGCUAGAUUUCUGAGGGACUCUUUUGUUGUUUGCAUAAACGGAUGGUGUUGUUUGUUGUCCAAAGGUAUAAAAAAUUUGCUCGGGACUUUUAGCAACACUACCUAGUUGGCAUUCAACACCAGUAUGGUCAAGUAUUCCAUAAAAUUCACAAGGUGGUGAAACAAGAGCAGGUGUGACGACACUUACAGUUAAUUUAUCAAAUUUUUGAAGAAGUGUGUCCACCUUAACAGAUAGAUGAUCAAGGGUAGAAACUUGGCACAUAACUGCCUCUUUUUUAGAGGGUGGAGGAGUACCUUCAGUGAUAACUCUCUAACUUGUCCACUGAUAGUGGUUGUAUGCCAUGUUCUCGAUCAAAUCAUAGGCUCCUGCGUAAGUUUUAUUCAUCAAAGCUCCACCUGCAGCUGCAUCAACAUUCAUUUUUGUGGAAAACAAAAGACCAUUAUAAAAAGUGUGGAUAAUAAGCCAAUUCUCAAAACCAUGAUGGGGGCAAAGCCUAAGCAUUUCUUUGAAACGCUCCCACACAUUGUAAAGAGAUUCACCAUCUUUUUGAGUGAAUUGUGUGAUUUGACUCCUUAAUUGAGCAGUUUUACUACGGGGAAAGAAUUGGGAAAGGAAUGCCUUCCUCAUUUGGUCCCAUGAAAUUAUAGAACCAAUUUUCAAUGAAUGAAACCAAGCACUAGCUCUAUCCCUCAAAGAGAAAGGAAAGAGGUGCAGCCUUACGGCCUCUUGGUUUGCCUUCAAAGUUCCACUGAGUCUUAGAAAAGUUGAAAUAUGAAAAUUCGGAUCCUCAGUGGGUGAUCCGAAAAAUUGAUUUUGCUGCACUAGGUAAAUAAGUGCAGGCUUUAUUUCAAAUUUAAUACCCUUAACCGUUGGGUACACAAUACCAUUGUGCGGCUCAUCUGAAAAUGUGAUUUGCGUACUCUUUUGAGAGAACGUUUCUCACCAUAUUCGUAUAAUUGGGGGAUUUUCUGGAAGCCUGCCUGAAAUCAAACCGUUAAACAUAGAAAAUUAUAACCAUAAUAAAUAAUUAUUAAUAAAUAAAAUAGGGAAAAAGGGAGGGAGAAAGGAUUUAAAAUAUAAAUUUAAAAUUAAUAUUUUUAAUUAAUUUUAAUUUUUUUUAUUUUUUAUUUAAAAAAAAAAAAAAUAAAAGGGAAAAAAAUUUUUUCUAAUUUUCGUUUCAUAUCUUUUAUAAUAUUAUUAUUUAAAUUAGUCUAUUUACCGCAAUUAUUUGCUUUUCCUUCCUCUUCCAUCAUCUUAUCAUUUUUUGACUUAUAUAAAAAAAUUAUGUUUAUAGGAGUAAUGUUUAUUUUUAUAUGUUUUUGUUUUAUCUAUUUCUUUUUUUCUCUAUUUUUUUCUCAAAUCUACUCUUUUCUUUUAUUUUUUUUUUUAUUUCUCCUUUUUUUGUCUACUUCUUUCUUAAUUUUUUCUUCUUGUAUUAUAAGUCUGUUCCAUUAUUACUAUUGUAUAAACAUUUAUUUCCUUUCUCUUGUCUUUUAAGUANNNNNNNNNNNNNNNNNNNNNNNNNNNNNNNNNNNNNNNNNNNNNNNNNNNNNNNNNNNNNNNNNNNNNNNNNNNNNNNNNNNNNNNNNNNNNNNNNNNNAAAAAAUUUUUCUUUUUUUUUUCUUUUUUUUUUAAGAAGGAAUUACCCCCCCUUCAAAAAUUUUUUUAAAAACCCACCCCAAAUAAAACCCUUAGGUCUUAGAAAAAACUUUUUUUUCCACCAAUAUUUUUUCCCAAAUGUUUUUCAAACAAACCCCAACCCCAACCAGUUGGGAAGGAGGAGAAAAAAGAAUGUUUUUCUCUUGGUUUUAAAAGUUAGGGGAAAGGGAAAUACAACUUUUAAAGUUAGGAUCCACCUUUUUUUUGCAGAAAAUUUUCCGUUCAAACCUUGAUACCGGUUUGAUUUGGCUUUUUUUUUUUUCCAGUUUCGGUUGGUUUUGGUUAGAUUUCGUUUGGUUUUUUUUUUUUUGAUUUUGGUUCGAUUUGGGUGGUUCCCGGGUUUGUUGGGGUUUUUUGAGCUGUGGUUGUUAUGGAUUUCGGAUUUGGUAAGUGAUCCAGAUCCGGAUUUGUGUUGUUGGGGUUCGGACUUGUAUUGAUUUGAGGGUGUUUAUGUUGUUAUUGUGUGUUUCUGGAAAUGAUUGAGGUUCAUGUUCAUGAUGAACAGCUAUGAACAUUCAUGAUGAUUAUUGUGUAUUUUUUAUUUUUUGAUCUGAAAAAGUUGAGAGAGAUGAAAGAUUUAGGGUUUCUGAUGGUGAUUGCUGCGGCUGCUACAGUGAUUCUCUCUGACUCCUUUCCCAAUGAUUGGACAGUGUAUUUAUAGUGACAAAAUAGGGUUGGCUCUGGUACAGAUCAAAGACCAAAAUACCCCUGUUGGAGACUUGGGGAUAAAGACUUAACAAAUAAAAAUAAUAAGAAACAAAAAACAGAAAAAUAAAAAAUGACAAAUAAAAUAAAAAUAAAAUAUUAAUUAAUAAUAAUAAAAAAAAAAUCCUUUCGAAAUCUGACAUGAGGUACUUCAAAGUAUCCUCCCUGCCGAAAUUUUGUCUGAAAUGAUUAAAAGGACGUGAUUUUUAAAAUAUGAUUAAACCUUUUAAAAUGACUUGAUUAUUAUGACUAACAAGACUAUAAAAUGCGCUCAAAAAAGCUAUAAAAAUGCAGAUAAAAGUUUUUAAAUGAUUAAAAAAAAAAAACGCGAGUUUUAAAUGGUAAAAAAAACGAAUAGAAGAGAAUGUGGACUAUUUCAAAAUAUGGACAAAAAAGAUUUAAAUGGUCCAAAUUUGGGGUAUGACAAUAUAUAUAUAUAUAUAUAUAUAUUGUUAAUUUAGUUAUUAAAAUAUGUUGCAUUAUUUUUUGUAGUUUCCUUGUUUUCGAUCCAUUUUAAAGUUGGUGUUGCUGCUGGCUGGUUGUUGCUUUUCUUUUUUGAUCCACUUGCUCAUUGGCUUGUUAUUUGAGGUUAGUAUCUUUUAUUUAUUUAAAAUUUAUUCAAUGGAUUAGUAUUAAAAAUAUUAGAUAUUGGAAACAUAGUUAGUAAAAUUAAAUUAUAGUAAAUAUGUUAUUUAGAUCAAAUUUGUUUUACGUAAAAUAAAUGUAGUUAGUAAAAAUGUUACCGUAGUUCUUUAAAAAAAGUUAAGUUAGUAAAGAAAUAUGUAUAAUUAUGUUUGUUAGAAAAAUAAUGUAAAUUAGUAAAAAAAUUAUGAAGUUAAUUAAUAUGACAUAUGUGAAUUAUUUUGUGGGAAUCAAUUCUGGCGUUCGCGCUUAACAUUUAUUUGUGGUUAGUAAUUUGUAUAUGCAUGCAAUGUUUAUUUCAUACAAAAUUUAGAAAAUGUGAUAUAGAUUAGAAAAUGUUAUAUAUUUUAGUCAUAAAAUAUAAAAUAUUAUAUAAUUUUUAUGCGAUAGCAUGUUUAUUUUGUACAAAUUUCUAAAUAUUUAGGUGAUUAGAAAAAAAUUGUUAUUUAUAUUAAAAAAAUAUUUACGUGUAAAAAAUGGAACUAAUUUGAGUCAAAUGCAGCAACGCGAAAAAUGGAUCAACAUAUUUUCCAUCGUAGUUGGAUGUACGAUAGAAAAUAUCCGGGGAAAAGGAAACUUAAGGCGGCUUUUGUGGAUGGAGUUCGUGAUUUUGUUGCUUACGCCAUGGCACAAGAUGCCUUUCAAUUGGAGGGAGGGAUAAGAUGUCCGUGUGUUAAAUGUACGUGUAGGUUGAUUCGGAGCCCAAAAGAUGUUCUAAACCAUUUAAAGGACCUUGGUUUUAUGGAGAAUUAUUAUGUGUUGAUUUAUCACGGUGAACAAGAGUCGACAAAUAAUACCGAGUCUGAUGUUAAUAUGCACGCUUCAAGCAGUGAGGCGCGUAUGGAGUGUGAAAACUUUGGCGUGAUGGAAGAUAUGGUCGGUGAUGCUCUUGGGGUGAACCUGUCUUACAACGAGGGUGGUGAAGAGGAAACAAUCCCGAAUGAGAAAGCGUUGAAGUUUUACAAGAUGAUGCAAGAAGUAAACAAGCCGUUGUUUGAAGGGUCGUCUGAUUCUAAGUUAUCCAUGAGUGUGAGGCUUUUAGCUACCGCGUCAGAUUGGAGUGUUGCGGAAGAAGGCUCAGAGUGUUAUACAGAUAUCAUGAGGGACGCAACUCCUGUAAAGGACAAUUUGCCCUUGAGUUUUUAUGAGGCUCAAAAGUUGGUGGAGAAGUUGGGAUUGGAAGUUAAAACUAUUGAUUGUUGCGUUAAUGGGUGCAUGUUGUUUUAUGACAACGAAUUUGGUAAAAAUGAUGGGGCGUUGGUGGCGUGUAAAUUUUGCAAUGCACCGAGAUAUGAAGUAUGUGAUGAUGCCGGUUCUCAGAAGAAGAAACGAGUCUCAAUUAAGUCAAUGUUUUAUCUGCCAAUAAUACCAAGAUUGCAGAGAUUGUUUGCAUCAACUCACACGGCCGAUAAAAUGACAUGGCAUUAUUACAAUAAAACUAAUUCAGGUGUGAUGCGACAUCCUUGUGACGGGGUGGCAUGGAAGCACUUUGAUCAAGUACAUCGUGAUUUUGCAGAAGAUCCACGUAAUGUGAGGCUUGGAUUAUGCUAUGAUGGAUUUAUUCCAUAUAUCCAAGCAUCAGCAACGCCUUAUUCAUUGUGUUGUAAAUCAUGGAAAUAUAGAUUAUGUCUUGUAGGAUAUAUAUCUGAUUUGCUUCUGUUUGGUGCUUUUUGUUUCUAAAAUAUAAUGACACCAUGCAUGCAACUUCACUGUUCAUCAUCUUCUUGCCGUUCACUGCUUCCAUCACUGCUUCCAUCACACUAACCGCUCGCUCUCACUCUCUUACUUCAAGAUUUAUCCAGGUAUCUUUCUUUUCUCUCUCAACUCCUCUGGUCCCAUGUCGUGUCCCGUGUUCGUGUCCGUGUCCGAGUCCGUGCUUCAUAGGGUUUUACACAUUUCUGUUUGCUAACUCUGUUUGCUAUACCAGCACCUUAAUUGGGUUUUACUCUUGAUUGGUUGUUUGUGUUUACAUAUUUUUAUGUUGAUUUGAGUGUAAUUCUACAAAACCAAUCCAAAAGUUCAAUUUUGAUCGUAAACAGACUUAAACUUCCUCUAUUUAAUUAAAAUAUCAAACGGUGUCCGAAUUGAGUAAACGAACAUUCCCUGGAAAGCUUAGAAUGUCAAGAAUAUAAAUAUAAUUUUAGUUUUGGUGUUUAAAUAUCCAAUUUGUACAGUUUUACCAAUGAACGUGUACAGGUACAGAAACAUGUUAGCAGUUUUUGUAACACCCCGUUUUCCCAAUAUCAAAAUUUCUUUAAAAACAUAACAUUUAUUAGAGUAAACAUCAAUCAACGGGAUAUCACAUAUAACGUAGUCCAACAGUUAAAUAAUAAUUUAACCAAUAUCUUAAACAUUGCAGCGGAAAAUCAUAAACAUAAUUCAUGUGAAACGUUUUGGCACGCAGGCCCCAAAUAAGUAUCUCAAAAGAGUUAAUCAAAACAGAAAUUGUCAUAGCAGUUCACGUAAAAGAAUGAAGCAUGUUAUAGCAUAUAACCCCAUCCCGUUACGUAUCAGAGCGACCUAGACGACACAGUGAAGGCAAGGCCACUCACGACGGCAACUGCACACUAAGCACGAUCACCUGCAAGUUACCCAUACAAAGGGCAACAUUUUCAAGCAGAAGGGGUGAGAUUUCAUAAUAAAAUAACAUUAAUCAAUGUAAUUGCGAAUCAUAAAUUAACAUCAUAAUCAUUCCAUUAUUAACUUUGCAUAAAUGCUAAACAGUUAUCACGUAAUCAUAUAUCCAAUUCAUUAUGAACAACAUAACAUAAUCAAUAAACACUUAUCACGUAAUCACAUAUUCAUUCAUUAUCAACAAGGCAUCUUAACCAUGACAAUGUGACAAUGCUCCUAGACUCCUUAUAUGCAUGUGGUACCAAUCGUCAUCAUAAGUAUUAAUAUACUUUAAUCGUGCGGAGGACAAAGCUCCUAAUAUUCGUGGUGAGGACUAAGCUCAAUGAUAUGCUAUGCAUGGACACAUAUGAACAAAACAUCGUAAUCAACUUAUCAACAUGCAUCCAAUAAUUUGGAGCUAAACUUCAUCAUAUACUUAUGCACUUAGUUAAAUAACGGAAGCAGCAUAAACAGGUCACAUAACAAGAUGAUAUCAUUAUAUCAAAG
rnacentral:lncRNA from 1 species